rnacentral:tRNA from 1 species
GCCUUCGUGGUGUAAUGGUCAGCACACUCGGCGAGUGUUCGAGAGGUCUAGGUUCGAGUCCCGUCUAGGGCA